CACAUAUUUUAAAAAAUCUUUUGAAUAUUGUUGAGAUAAUACUGUUUCCUAUAAAGCACAACAUUUAUCUCUCAUGUCAAACAUCCAGAAUUUAUAUAAAUAGUACAUAAACAAUAGUUCUAUUAUUAGAUUAGUUAGUUAUAAUUAUAUUUAUUAACAUAAUACAUUAACUAAAAAUAGUUAAAUUGGCUUUUAAAAGAUGAAAAAAAAAUGCCUUCAUUCAGUACCAAAAUGAAAGCAAUGCUUUUAGAUUGGAUAUCACCACUAAGAAGGCCAUCUUCAUUCUGACUGUCUACUGAUUUCACUUGUCAGAGGGACCUAAGUAAGACCUUGAAAAAGAAUCUCAAAUUUCAUAAAUAGGUCUGUAUGAGAAAAGUCAAUAUUUCUAUUAUCUUGGUCUCAGUCUGUUAAAAAGACUUGAAAGAUUAAAACCAACACUUUGAAUGUGCCUGGAAUAUAGGUGACUAGCUGCAGUAACAAAAAAUGUCCCAGCUUUUUCUACUGGUGACGCCAUGUUUUCCCUGUAAGGCAUGAGAUUGGUAAGUGAUGUCAUCUCCCCAUCCAUGCACCUUUUUGCGCACACAUGUGAAGAAUAUAUGGAGCAGCUUUUGAAACGGCUAUGCAAGCCAGAAAAAAAAAUUGCAGUUGCUUUAACAGUUAAAGAAGAGGGCUCUUGUUUAUGCUUCCUAACACUGUGAAGCAUCUGUUUGUAACCUUUGCACAGGCCUAUUUUCCAAUUAUUGGUGAAUAUUAUCAAUAAUAUUCAGCUAAUAUGCUACCGCACUUAUAUUAAUGAGUUAUAUAAUUCUUUAAUUGGUUCGUGUCUACAUUUCAAAUUUGUUGAAUUAAUCUAUCUCCUAUACAUAAAUCAUGUUGCUUUUCUUUAAAUUUUAGAUUUGGCAGUCUUGGAGCAUUCCAGUAAAAUAAUACUAUACUACUACCUCCUGAGCAUAAUUGCAGGCAAGCAUCCUCAGACUACUGCUUUUCAAGUAUGAAUUUCAAUUCUCAUAAUCCCAAAUCUGUAUGGUUGUUAUGAGAACUAAAGUCCAACACCUCCAGAAGCAUGAAUUUAGAUAAUGUGAUAUAGAUUCAAGGUUCACAAAGUAUGAAGGCAAAUACACUGGCAAUUAUUAAGGUAUGGUAUGUAUUUUAUUUGUUUUAUGUUAUUUCAAUUUGAUUGAAGCUAAGCAGUGUACAGUCACAAAUCUGCACAAUAACAAUAUAAGAGCUUAAAAACAGUAAUAGCUUUUUACAGUAAGCACAAAAUAAAAACAUCAGUGUACAA